rnacentral:tRNA from 1 species
GGUCCCGUAGCUCAGGUGGAUAGAGCGCAUGAUUCCUAAUCAUGAGGCCGCAAGUUCAAAUCUUGCCGGGAUCACCA